rnacentral:tRNA from 1 species
GCGGGCGUGGCGGAACGGCAGACGCGCGCGGCUUAGGACCGCGUGGGCCUGGCCCGUGGGAGUUCGAAUCUCCCCGCCCGCACCA